rnacentral:lncRNA from 1 species
UGUAGGAGUAUCACUUCCUAGCCCUUCUUUCUACUUUUUCGAGUAGAAUUUUUCAGUUAAAAAUUUCAGAAUUUUUGCCUGAAAUGCUACCGCAAGGAAUAUUUGAAGACAUACUCCAUUAAGUUAGGAGUAUGUAGCAGUACUUAUUUUGAGUAGCUAGGAAUGAAGCUUCCUAGCAAUUUGACCAAAUUCUGUCAUUUACUCCAUUUCAAUGAAGUUUUUGUCAUUUAUUCUGUCAAUGGUAUUCACUGCAAUAAUUUGAAAGUACUGAUGCAUUCAAUUUCCAUUUGACUUAUGCAAACUGAAUUUACUCAAAUCUCUCUCAGCCAAUAAUAAAAUCUCUUAGCAAUGAUGUAAAAAUAAUCAAAUCUCUCCAUUUGACUUAUGCAGGCCUUAUACAAUGAUGUAAAAAUACUCAAAUCUCUCCAUUUAAUUUCCAUUUGACUUAUGCAGGUCUUAUUACAGUAAUAAAAUCUCUUAGCAAUGAUGUAAAAAUACUCAAAUCUCUCCCAGCCAAAAGAUGUUUUGUCAGGUCUUAUUACAGUACUACUCCAGUCAUGAACCUAUUUUUGUUGUGUGUGUGUUCUCAGAAAAACAAUGUACUCCAGUCUGUUUUCAGUAGCUGUCUCUCAUGAUCCUUUAAUGAGAAAAAGAAUAUGUGUAAUCCAGAUGACAACAUUUUCAGUCUAUGAUUUUACUCCUAUUGCAGAGGUUCUUUCAGAAUUUUCAGAAUAAAUGAUGCACAGUCAACAGUUAAUACAGUUUGGUCUGGUACUCCUAUUGUCUGAAAUGCUACAGUUUAUGAUCUGCUAGUCCUUUUGUUCAAUUUAUUUACUCCAUCAGUACUCUAUCACUUGAAUCAAAUUAUUUACUCCAUCAGUACUCCAUCGGUACUCCAUCAGUACUCCAUCACUUGAAUCAAAUUACCAGUUCAAACUUAGUGAUAUCUCUGAAUUAUUCUGCCAAAUUCAGUUAACUUGUUCAAAUUAUUUGUUGAAUUAUUGGCAGCAAACAUUUCUUCAAUCAAAUGCUGGCAGUUCUGAAUUACUCCAGGAGAGCACAUCUCUUGAAUGACUUGAGUAUUGUUUAUGCUUGCAGUUCGUUUCCAGCAACAACAGAGAGAUGUGCUUCAGUAGAGGAUCAAAUGAUCAGAGAGAGGAGAUGAACCUGGGCACCAGCCGAGCCCAGCAGCAGCUCCUGGACGUGGGAGAGGAGGAGCGCCUGCGCCUGGAUGCAGUGGCCGGAGGUGGGGACAGAGGUGGAGGUGGAGGAACAGCCUGUGCUCGCCUCCACCUGGGCGCGGGCCAGGAGGAGCCGAUGCGCGUGGGCGACAGCAGAGCACCAGCUCUACUCCGGCGGCGGCAGCGCCUGGGCAGGGGGCGGAGGAGGUGGAGGGUGGGGGCGGAG